GGUUAAGCGACUAAGCGUACACGGUGGAUGCCCUGGCAGUCAGAGGCGAUGAAGGACGUGCUAAUCUGCGAUAAGCGUCGGUAAGGUGAUAUGAACCGUUAUAACCGGCGAUUUCCGAAUGGGGAAACCCAGUGUGAUUCGUCACACUAUCAUUAACUGAAUCCAUAGGUUAAUGAGGCGAACCGGGGGAACUGAAACAUCUAAGUACCCCGAGGAAAAGAAAUCAACCGAGAUUCCCCCAGUAGCGGCGAGCGAACGGGGAGGAGCCCAGAGCCUGAAUCAGUGUGUGUGUUAGUGGAAGCGUCUGGAAAGGCGCGCGAUACAGGGUGACAGCCCCGUACACAAAAAUGCACAUAUUGUGAGCUCGAUGAGUAGGGCGGGACACGUGGUAUCCUGUCUGAAUAUGGGGGGACCAUCCUCCAAGGCUAAAUACUCCUGACUGACCGAUAGUGAACCAGUACCGUGAGGGAAAGGCGAAAAGAACCCCGGCGAGGGGAGUGAAAAAGAACCUGAAACCGUGUACGUACAAGCAGUGGGAGCACGCUUAGGCGUGUGACUGCGUACCUUUUGUAUAAUGGGUCAGCGACUUAUAUUCUGUAGCAAGGUUAACCGAAUAGGGGAGCCGAAGGGAAACCGAGUCUUAACUGGGCGUUAAGUUGCAGGGUAUAGACCCGAAACCCGGUGAUCUAGCCAUGGGCAGGUUGAAGGUUGGGUAACACUAACUGGAGGACCGAACCGACUAAUGUUGAAAAAUUAGCGGAUGACUUGUGGCUGGGGGUGAAAGGCCAAUCAAACCGGGAGAUAGCUGGUUCUCCCCGAAAGCUAUUUAGGUAGCGCCUCGUGAAUUCAUCUCCGGGGGUAGAGCACUGUUUCGGCAAGGGGGUCAUCCCGACUUACCAACCCGAUGCAAACUGCGAAUACCGGAGAAUGUUAUCACGGGAGACACACGGCGGGUGCUAACGUCCGUCGUGAAGAGGGAAACAACCCAGACCGCCAGCUAAGGUCCCAAAGUCAUGGUUAAGUGGGAAACGAUGUGGGAAGGCCCAGACAGCCAGGAUGUUGGCUUAGAAGCAGCCAUCAUUUAAAGAAAGCGUAAUAGCUCACUGGUCGAGUCGGCCUGCGCGGAAGAUGUAACGGGGCUAAACCAUGCACCGAAGCUGCGGCAGCGACGCUUAUGCGUUGUUGGGUAGGGGAGCGUUCUGUAAGCCUGCGAAGGUGUGCUGUGAGGCAUGCUGGAGGUAUCAGAAGUGCGAAUGCUGACAUAAGUAACGAUAAAGCGGGUGAAAAGCCCGCUCGCCGGAAGACCAAGGGUUCCUGUCCAACGUUAAUCGGGGCAGGGUGAGUCGACCCCUAAGGCGAGGCCGAAAGGCGUAGUCGAUGGGAAACAGGUUAAUAUUCCUGUACUUGGUGUUACUGCGAAGGGGGGACGGAGAAGGCUAUGUUGGCCGGGCGACGGUUGUCCCGGUUUAAGCGUGUAGGCUGGUUUUCCAGGCAAAUCCGGAAAAUCAAGGCUGAGGCGUGAUGACGAGGCACUACGGUGCUGAAGCAACAAAUGCCCUGCUUCCAGGAAAAGCCUCUAAGCAUCAGGUAACAUCAAAUCGUACCCCAAACCGACACAGGUGGUCAGGUAGAGAAUACCAAGGCGCUUGAGAGAACUCGGGUGAAGGAACUAGGCAAAAUGGUGCCGUAACUUCGGGAGAAGGCACGCUGAUAUGUAGGUGAGGUCCCUCGCGGAUGGAGCUGAAAUCAGUCGAAGAUACCAGCUGGCUGCAACUGUUUAUUAAAAACACAGCACUGUGCAAACACGAAAGUGGACGUAUACGGUGUGACGCCUGCCCGGUGCCGGAAGGUUAAUUGAUGGGGUCAGCGCAAGCGAAGCUCUUGAUCGAAGCCCCGGUAAACGGCGGCCGUAACUAUAACGGUCCUAAGGUAGCGAAAUUCCUUGUCGGGUAAGUUCCGACCUGCACGAAUGGCGUAAUGAUGGCCAGGCUGUCUCCACCCGAGACUCAGUGAAAUUGAACUCGCUGUGAAGAUGCAGUGUACCCGCGGCAAGACGGAAAGACCCCGUGAACCUUUACUAUAGCUUGACACUGAACAUUGAGCCUUGAUGUGUAGGAUAGGUGGGAGGCUUUGAAGUGUGGACGCCAGUCUGCAUGGAGCCGACCUUGAAAUACCACCCUUUAAUGUUUGAUGUUCUAACGUUGACCCGUGAUCCGGGUUGCGGACAGUGUCUGGUGGGUAGUUUGACUGGGGCGGUCUCCUCCUAAAGAGUAACGGAGGAGCACGAAGGUUGGCUAAUCCUGGUCGGACAUCAGGAGGUUAGUGCAAUGGCAUAAGCCAGCUUGACUGCGAGCGUGACGGCGCGAGCAGGUGCGAAAGCAGGUCAUAGUGAUCCGGUGGUUCUGAAUGGAAGGGCCAUCGCUCAACGGAUAAAAGGUACUCCGGGGAUAACAGGCUGAUACCGCCCAAGAGUUCAUAUCGACGGCGGUGUUUGGCACCUCGAUGUCGGCUCAUCACAUCCUGGGGCUGAAGUAGGUCCCAAGGGUAUGGCUGUUCGCCAUUUAAAGUGGUACGCGAGCUGGGUUUAGAACGUCGUGAGACAGUUCGGUCCCUAUCUGCCGUGGGCGCUGGAGAACUGAGGGGGGCUGCUCCUAGUACGAGAGGACCGGAGUGGACGCAUCACUGGUGUUCGGGUUGUCAUGCCAAUGGCACUGCCCGGUAGCUAAAUGCGGAAGAGAUAAGUGCUGAAAGCAUCUAAGCACGAAACUUGCCCCGAGAUGAGUUCUCCCUGACCCUUUAAGGGUCCUGAAGGAACGUUGAAGACGACGACGUUGAUAGGCCGGGUGUGUAAGCGCAGCGAUGCGUUGAGCUAACCGGUACUAAUGAACCGUGAGGCUUAACCUU
rnacentral:rRNA from 1 species